UACGAAGGGGGCUAGCGUUGUUCGGAAUUACUGGGCGUAAAGCGCACGUAGGCGGAUUAGUAAGUCAGGAGUGAAAUCCCGGGGCUCAACCUCGGAACUGUCUUUGAUACUGCUGAUCUCGAGUCCGGAAGAGGGGAGUGGAAUUCCUAGUGUAGAGGUGAAAUUCGUAGAUAUUAGGAAGAACACCAGUGGCGAAGGCGGCUCACUGGUCCGGUACUGACGCUGAGGUGCGAAAGCGUGGGGAGCAAACAGG
rnacentral:rRNA from 1 species